rnacentral:rRNA from 1 species
UACGGGGGGAGCAAGCGUUGUUCGGAUUUACUGGGCGUAAAGGGCGCGUAGGCGGUCGUGACAAGUCACUUGUGAAAUCUCCGGGCUUAACUCGGAACGGUCAAGUGAUACUGUCGUGCUAGAGUACAGAAGGGGCACUGGAAUUCUCGGUGUAGCGGUGAAAUGCGUAGAUAUCGAGAGGAACACCUGCGGCGAAGGCGGGUUGCUGGGCUGAUACUGACGCUGAGGCGCGAAAGCUAGGGGAGCGAACGGG